rnacentral:rRNA from 1 species
GUGAACGCUGGCGGCGUGCUUAACACAUGCAAGUCGAACGGAUUAAAAGAGCUUGCUUUUUUGAUUAGUGGCGCACGGGUGAGUAAUAUAUAGCUAACCUGCCCUUUAGUGGGGGACAACAGUUGGAAACGACUGCUAAUACCCUAUACUCCUUCUUACUAUAAGGUAAGUCGGGAAAGAUUUAUCGCUAAAGGAUGGGGCUUUAUUGUAUCAGCUAGUUGGUGAGGUAAUGGCUCACCAAGGCUAUGACGCAUACCUGGUCUGAGAGGAUGAUCAGGCACACUGGAACUGAGACACGGUCCAGACUCCUACGGGAGGCAGCAGUGGGGAAUAUUGCACAAUGGACGCAAGUCUGAUGCAGCAACGCCGCGUGGAGGAUGACGCAUUUCGGUGUGUAAACUCCUUUUAUAGGGGAAGAUAAUGACGGUACCCUAUGAAUAAGCACCGGCUAACUCCGU